AACGAACGCUGGCGGCAUGCCUAACACAUGCAAGUCGAACGAGACCUUCGGGUCUAGUGGCGCACGGGUGCGUAACGCGUGGGAAUCUGCCCUCUGGUACGGAAUAACUCAGGGAAACUUGAGCUAAUACCGUAUAAUGACUUCGGUCCAAAGAUUUAUCGCCUGAGGAUGAGCCCGCGUCGGAUUAGCUAGCUGGUGAGGUAAAGGCUCACCAAGGCGACGAUCCGUAGCUGGUCUGAGAGGAUGAUCAGCCACACUGGGACUGAGACACGGCCCAGACUCCUACGGGAGGCAGCAGUGGGGAAUAUUGGACAAUGGGCGAAAGCCUGAUCCAGCAAUGCCGCGUGAGUGAUGAAGGCCUUAGGGUUGUAAAGCUCUUUUACCCGGGAUGAUAAUGACAGUACCGGGAGAAUAAGCCCCGGCUAACUCCGUGCCAGCAGCCGCGGUAA
rnacentral:rRNA from 1 species